rnacentral:rRNA from 1 species
ACUAUUGUCACGGGUUACCGCGGCUGCUGGCACGGAGUUAGCCGGUGCUUCUUCUGCGAGUAACGUCACAGAUGUAAGGUAUUAACUUACACCCUUUCCUCCUCGCUGAAAGUGCUUUACAACCCGAAGGCCUUCUUCACACACGCGGCAUGGCUGCAUCAGGGGUUUCCCCCCGAUUGUGCAAUAUUCCCCACUGCUGCCUCCCGUACGGAGUCUGGGCCGUGUCUCAGUCCCAGUGUGGCUGAUCAUCCUCUCAGACCAGCUAGGGGAUCGUCGCCUAGGUGAGCCUUUACCUCACCUACCUAGCUAAUCCCACCUGGGGCUUAUCCCAUCAGCGCAA